GACGAACGCUGGCGGCGUGCCUAAUACAUGCAAGUCGAACGAGAGCGACCGGUGCUUGCACUGGUCAAUCUAGUGGCGAACGGGUGAGUAACACGUGGGUAACCUGCUCAUCAGAGGGGGAUAACAUCCGGAAACGGAUGCUAAAACCGCAUAGGUCUUCGAGCCGCAUGGCUUGAAGAGGAAAAGAGGCGCAAGCUUCUGCUGAUGGAUGGACCCGCGGUGCAUUAGCUAGUUGGUGAGGUAACGGCUCACCAAGGCCGUGAUGCAUAGCCGACCUGAGAGGGUGAUCGGCCACAUUGGGACUGAGACACGGCCCAAACUCCUACGGGAGGCAGCAGUAGGGAAUCUUCCGCAAUGGACGCAAGUCUGACGGAGCAACGCCGCGUGAGUGAAGAAGGUUUUCGGAUCGUAAAACUCUGUUGUUAGAGGAGAACAAGUGCUAGAGUAACUGUUAGCGCCUUGACGGUAUCUAACCAGAAAGCCACGGCUAACUACGUG
rnacentral:rRNA from 1 species